ensembl:lncRNA
UUGAGGUCCCUGUGUAUCUGAGGUCUUCCAAAGUGCAUCGGGACAGCCUUCAGACAGCUUUGGAAGACUCCAGUCUCAAAGGGAAGAGAGAAAAAAACCAACAGGUUAAGUGGUGCCUGGAAUUAUUCCUGUUGGACUGUAAACUUGUCAGCACAGCACUGCCAGCCCAGAGCCACACACACAUUGCAGGAGUGAUGUGAAGAGGGGCAGAAGGAUACAAAGCAGAAGGCUCAGAGGUUGGAGCCGAAGGCUGGAGGUGGACAUCCAGAUCCAGUUUGACUUGAGAGGAGCCCUGUCACCAAGGUGAUCGUGCAGCUGGUUUUCCAAUGUUUCUAAUUCUCACAAUUGAAGCCAGCAGCCCGAUUUGUCUCUUCUGCUGAAGGAAAGCUAAACAUGCAAAUCGGGCAGGCGGCUGAGGAUCGUAAAAGGACGAGCAGGGUGCAAUAUACACAGGGAGGAAAACAAAGAGAGAUGAGUCCUGACAGCAGAGAAAUUAUACCUGGCUUCAUGUGAGGGCACAGACCUGGCCCUGGCUGCCCCAAGAUCACUGCACACUGCCAGCCAAGCUGUUCUCAUGCUUAAUUUACAGCCUGCAAGGUUCGUGCACCACCUAAUGAAAAAUCGCGAUGGGAACUUUGCAGGAGAAAGUAGGACAGUUGGCACAUUAUUCACAUUUCAGCAGAGGAGGGGAGAGCUCCUUUUGCCACGAGAACUGACCUCAUGGUGGUUUGACCUGCACAGAGGGCUGUCAUCGGGGCUUUAUGAUCAUUCCAAUUUGGAUUGUAACGUUAUGCUGAAAGUAACACUGGACUCUAUUAUCUUGCUUUGCCCUUUCCAUAAUUCAACGCCAUGUUUGCAGCAUAGCAGCAGUUCGAGGAGUUUGAGAAGUUUUGGUGGAGGUAGUCCAGCCUCGAUGCUGAGCAUUGCUCAGCAGCAUCGUUCACUCUGGAUACACCUCACGUGUGGGAAAAACAAUAAGGAUUACCUCAAGAUUACUCAUGUCCUCAAUUAGAAAUUGUUUUUCUCCUGUGACUUGUGUUGUUGAUAGCUGAAAUGGCUGUUCACACUACAAGUGGCCUUUUAUUCACCUGCCUUCAAGCUGUGGCUGAUAUUACCAAACUGAUAUCUUUAUUCUCACUGAUUUCAGGUGAAGCUUCUUUCUCCCUGUGAGUACCCAUCAGUCACUUCUCCAUUCAAGAGGCAGAACAUUGCUACCCAGACCUGCAUCUAAACAGUACAAUUUUCUUGACAACACCAGUUGUUUCUCGCAGUCCACGUUCAGAAGGUCCCAUGGACAGAAUUACACUUUAUCCACUUGAACUUUCAUAGUUUCCAGAAGUUCAUACGAUCUUUUCCAAACUCCCCAUGUUACACAAUUUCCUUGUUCUUUGGAGCAACCUCUCAGGCAGAAGGGUAUUACUAUAUCUAUAGCUGUAGUCCCAGGUAAUUGAAUUCUCCUCUUCCUCUACAAUUUGGCUCUGAAUCACGUUCUUUUUAAAUAAUAAAGUAAAAU